GACCCAUUAGCGCAGAAGGCAGCGCGCCGACUCAAUAUGGAGUUCCUGUGGUAUUUUAUGUGGGAGGCCCCAGUUCGAAUCUGGGAUGGGUCA